GAUCUUUUGUGAGGGCACCUUCUCAAAAGAUCCUUGCAUCUCUCCCAUGCAUCUUAUAGUGUUUCAAAAUCCAUCUGCACAAAAGAAGAGAUAUCAUACGUAAUUUA
rfam:Gossypium arboreum cultivar AKA8401 contig_1972_1, whole genome shotgun sequence.